rnacentral:lncRNA from 1 species
UCAAAGACACGAUGCAUCCAGUACGCUCCUACGACAUUUUGGCACCCAGCUAGCAUCAAAAGAAGGCAGACAACAAGUCAUCAAAUUUAAUUAGGUAAUAACUUUGCUGACUCCAUGUGUGUUUAGAUGUUUCCAUCUGAUGAGCAAGUCUUGAUUUCCAAUCUCCCGCAAAAAAAUCUAAAUUUCUAAUAAACUUUCAUACAUACACUGUCGAUAAAAUGUAAAUACUUCUUAAGAUAUUUUUGAAGGCAACAACAAUUUGAGGUUCAAGAAGGAACCGAUCCAUGACAUCCAUCAAUGUUAACAAAACAAUUUGCACUGCUGUAUAUUUAUAAUGAUUCUAAUCAAAAUUUAAGUUUACUCGCAUCAAAAUCAAGCUGAAGCAAAGAUCAAUUAUUCUUAUUACUCCAAAUAUGCAUAGGCACUCGGCAGAAAGAACUUAACAAAAAUGAUUGGGAUAGAUAAAGUACUCUAGGGACACUAGAAGAACAAAUGUUUCAUAGGAGAACAUUAGAAGAACUUACUGGAGUGAGACAUGAAACCGGACAAAUCGGGUGCUGCAUUAGUUCCAAUAUAUGCUAUCAUCACUCUUCCUGGAUAAUGAGUCUCUAAGACCUGCAAUUUUAGUUAUAAUGAGAUCUUAGUUAACUUAUUUAUGUCUCUUAAUUUCUUGAGUUUUAGGUAUAUUUUAGAUUUUUGUGUUCACAACAAUAGCUACAAUAGAUCAGUUACAAGAAGAUAUUCAAUGGUGGUAAAUGUCAUCUGAUGAUUGUCACAAACUUGCUACCAAGGAACACUUAUUAUUAUAAGAGUUGUGGUAUAUAUAAAGAAAGGGUAACACCUAGGUAACCAUAUCACUCAUAUGGACAACUAUUAUAUUAUACUUACUGUUGACUAACAUGAAUGGUAUAGUAGGUAUCGACUCUACUCCAGAAUAGUGACCACAUAGCUACUACAAACUGCAAUUUAUAUUACGAGGAGGCUCCAAGAUUGCAUAGUACAUCUAGCUUGCUGAACUCGAUCGAUGGGAAAUCUGAAGAAACACCGGAUGAUACAACUAUGUGGAAGGAGACUUAUCUUCGAAUUCAAGCUCAAUGAUAGUAAUCUCACCUUUGGCAGCUAAAAGAACAUUUAUGCAUGAUGGUAGGCUUGAGAUGUUCUACUUGAACGGUAAAGCUGAGGAGGUAAAGGUGCAUUUAAUUAUAGAAUCCCUAUCUAAUUUGUCUUACAUAUAUUGCACAAGAAUUGACGGAUGGUGAGGUGGACACCGUGUAAAAACAUUAAAGAAGCAAGCAAAACAUUCCAGAUAUAAAGGAUAGACAGGUGAUUGAUUUUAUCAUUAUGUAAACUUCUAGAUUUUUAGAAAUGUUUUUAGUUUAAAAAAAAUAUAUUUUAACACAGUGAAGAGGUUCCUGGUAAGUUCCAAUAGAUUAGUAGGCGAAACAACAACAAGGAGGACAAGGAAGUUAACUAGAAAAUUAGUAGAUUAGUAGCUUAUCAUUUAGAUAAUAAGGCAGACUAUAUGCAUUUACAAAGACAUAGCAACACUACUUGACAACGUCCAUGAUAAGAAGGAUAUUUACAAAGAUAUAAUAACAGUACUUGAGAUUGUCCAUCGUAAGAAGGAUACUUAUUAGAUUAUAAGGGUGUGAACAUUAGCACUAUCAAAAUUUACAAAGAUAUAAUAACAGUACUUGAGAUUGUCCAUCGUAAGAAGGAUACUUAUUAGAUUAUAAGGGUGUGAAUAUUAGCACUAUCAAAAUUUACAAAGAUAUAAUAACAGUACUUGAGAUUGUCCAUUGUAAGAAGGAUACAUAUUACUCCCUCCGUUCCUAAAUAUUUGUCUUUCUAGAGAUUUCAACAAGUGACUACAUACGGAGCAAAAUGACUGAAUCUACACUCUAAAAUAUGUCUAUGUACAUCCGUAUGUGGUAGUCCAUUUGAAAUCUCUAAAAGACAAAUAUUUAGGAACAGAGGGAGUAGAUUAUAAGGGUGUGAAUAUUAGCACUAUCAAAAGCAGUCCACAUUGUAAUUUUCUAAAAGACAUUCACUUUUGUUGGUUUUUUGUUAUGGGUACUAAAACCUCUAUAUCCCACACAUCCUUUCCAGUAAUCUUGAAUAGAUCUUCAAUAUCAUAUGAAUGACCUACAACACAUAUACAAAACCAUUGUAUGUCGACUAACACAUAAUUAAAAUUGAAAAAUUAGUGCCUUUUUGCUAGGACAUGGUAACUACAAAUAAGAGAACACUUUACAAUGCUAUGGUGGAAUUAUAAGGAAUAAUAUGCAUUAGGAAUGAUUCUUAUCAUCAACACUUACAUUUGGUAGGAGGGCAACAACUCAUAGGCCGCCUGCACACGCUGCUCACAUUUUGCUGCUAUUUAUUUAUCGCGCGAUCUCAUCAUAUGACUCUGCCUCUGUUACCCCAUACCUCUUAAGGACCAUAGACACAAUGCCCCCUUUAUCAUUUGCCUCAGAUUCAACCAUUCUCCAUCAGCCAGCCAUUAUUUUCUGCCAUACCCCGCCCUGGCAUUGAUGACCCGGCACCAACAAGCUUAAACCCAGUAGGAUGAUUUUGUCCAGGAAAUUCAGG